UUUGGACAUGGGGGGAACCCUGAUCCAGCCAUGCCGCGUGUGUGAAGAAGGCCUUUUGGUUGUAAAGCACUUUAAGCGAGGAGGAGGAGCUCUUGGUUAAUACCCAAGAUGCUUGGACGUUACUCGCAGAAUAAGCACCGGCUAACUCUGUGCCAGCAGCCGCGGUAAUACAGAGGGUGCAAGCGUUAAUCGGAUUUACUGGGCGUAAAGCGCGCGUAGGUGGCCAAUUAAGUCAAAUGUGAAAUCCCCGAGCUUAACUUGGGAAUUGCAUUCGAUACUGGUUGGCUAGAGUAUGGGAGAGGAUGGUAGAAUUCCAGGUGUAGCGGUGAAAUGCGUAGAGAUCUGGAGGAAUACCGAUGGCGAAGGCAGCCAUCUGGCCUAAUACUGACACUGAGGUGCGAAAGCAUGGGGAGCAAACAGGAUUAGAUACCCUGGUAGUCCAUGCCGUAAACGAUGUCUACUAGCCGUUGGGGCCUUUGAGGCUUUAGUGGCGCAGCUAACGCGAUAAGUAGACCGCCUGGGGAGUACGGUCGCAAGACUANAACUCAAAUGA
rnacentral:rRNA from 1 species